ensembl:lncRNA
ACAGAUAUGACCUGGAAAAUCUUUUUUUUGCUGCUAAAAAUAUUGAACUGAAUGAAUAAUACAUUGAAAAUUUUAAUGAAAAGUAUAUUUUGAAUAAAAACAAUGUUUUCUGGGUUUUAAUAUCUAGAUAGUGUCUGCUACUGAAAAACAUUACAGAUGAACUAGUUGGUACUUUUGCACUUACUCUUCAGAGUAAGCUGAGAUUAGGAAUUGGAAUCAAAUGAAAAUAACACAGAAGCAUCAUUUCUGUGAAAGCCCAAUGACCUAACCACUGGACCACCAGGGAAUUGCCCUUUGUCUGCUUUUCUAUUGGGUUUUCUGGUUACUUUUGAGAAGCUCUUUAAAAUUUUUAAUUAUUGGUCCUUUGUUGAUGAUACACACUGCAAAGAAUAGAUUCCCAGAUUGCCAUCCAUUGCUGAUGUCUUGUUGAACACAAAUCUUUACAUUUCAUGUGGAUAGAUCCAUCACGUUUUACCUUACAGGUUGUGCUUUCUACCACCUUGUUAGAAAGCACAACCUUGUGCUUUCUACAGUCUUGUUAACAAACUCCUCUGUAAACCCAAAGUCACAGAACUGUUUUCCUACAUUUUCUCCUAGUAAUGUUCUGGUUGUAACUUUUGUGUUUAGGUCUGAAUUUCUCUGUAUGUAAGAAUGAUUCAAGUUUUUUGUUCAUUCAAGUGAGCCAAUUUCAUCGGUACUAUUUGUUAAAUAAUGCAUUCUUCUCCCAGUGAUUCAUGAUAACAAUUUGACCGUAUAUCACUCCCCAUGGGCAUAAUUGGCAUACAAAUUUGUGUCUGUACUCAUUAUAUUCCUAGCUGUUCCUGCAAUUGUAUCACGUUUUAACAGUUACUUCAAACAUUAUAGCUUUCCAGUAUGUCUUUCUUUUAAUUGGAGUAUGAUUGCUUUACAGUGUUAUGUUUUUGUUGUAUAAUAAAAUGAAUCAGCUCUAUGUGUACAUAUAUCCCCUCCCUUUUGGAUCUCACUCCCCAAUCCCCAUCCCAUGUGUAAAAUAAAUAGCUAGUGGAAACUGCUAUAAAGCACAGAAAGCUCAGUUCAGUACAGUAUGUGUUAAUAUCAAGUAGUGUGCAGCUCAGUACAGUAUGCCUUAAUAUCAGGUAGCGUGAAUUUAUUCUCUUUGCUCUUCUUUUGAGAAUUGUUUUAGCAAUUGGUGGACUUUUCCUUCUUCCAUGUAAAUUUAGAAUCAGUUCCAAAUUCUAUCUAAAGUCUUGUUGGAAUUGCAUUACAAUUAUGAUCAUUUUAGAGGGAAUUGACAUCAUUAUAGUGUUAAAUCUUUGCUUUCAUAAACAUUGUAUUUUUCUCCAUUUACUUAGGUCUCUUUUAAUGUUCUUUAAAAUUUUUUCCAUAAAGGUUGUAUGCAGUUUUUUUUUAAGUCAAUAGCUAGAUUCUUUAGUUUUGGUUGCUUUGACAUGCUUUCUUGUUUUCCAAUUGGUUACUGCAUGUUUACAGGAAAGCUUCUGAAUUUUGAAAUAUUGAUUUUGCAUAUAGAAAUGUUUGGGUUUUAAUCUUUUUAGUUUUAAUAGCUGUCUUUCCUUAAUUUUUAAUGUAAAUCAUCAUAUAAUUGUCAUAAAUUAUAUACUUAUUUUUUUACUCCUAGUCUGCGAGUCCCGAAUGGCUCUUUUUUUCUUAUCACAGAAUUUGUCAGUUCCUCCACUCCCAUAAACAGCAGGAAUAGCAUUAGCAGGCAUUCCUUUUUUUGUUCCUAGCCUUAAGUGUAAGACUGCUCUAAUCUCCCUGUCAAGUAUAUUUUCUAGUCAAUAACUAGAUUCUUUAGUUGCCUUUAGCAGUUUUCUUAGUUUUGAAGACUUUUUAUUGUAAGUAGGAUUAAACUUUAGCAGUGAUUUUUUUUCUAUAGCUAUUGAGAUAAACAUGGGCUUUCUCCUAUAAGUCUGCUAAUAUGAAUUUCAUUGGUUGAUUUUCUAAUAUUGAAUUAUCUUUGUAUUUCUAGGAAAACUGUACCUGUAGAAAAAAAAUUUUAAUACAGUGUUGGAUUCAGUUAGCUAAUAUUUCACACAGGAUAUUUGCCUCUAUAGUCAUACAUGUGAUUUUCCUUACUUACACCUCCUAUAAGUGGUAUUAAGUUUAUUCUAGUCUUAUAAGUGAGUUGGGCUGUUUUUUUCUCUUGUUCUAUGCUUUACAAAAACCUGUAUGAGAUAAGAUUAAUCUUUUCUUGAAAGAUUUAGUAAAGGGUUAUCUCUAAAGUCAUUUAGGCUGGCUUGUUUUUGUUAUAUAUGGGAAAUUGCCAUUUCAAUUUUUUGAAUACUUACUAGUUUUUCAUAAGUUUUUAAAUAAUUGAAUUUUAGUUUUUGUUCAUCUCUAUUUGUUUUAUUUAGCCUUUAUAUUUAAUUCUUUUCUCCUUUCUUCUUUAUGUUUAUUCAUGUGGUUUUUGCCUAUGAGUAUUCCAUAAUAAGAAAAAUGAUGGAUUAAGUUACUUAUAUGAAAA